UUGGCAAACCUGGCGAAAGCCAGGGACGCAAAACUAAAGGGUCUAAGCCGUUAACGGUAUGACAGCCAGCUGC
rnacentral:ncRNA from 1 species